AUGCCUGGCUUUCUGGCAGCCGUGCUGCUCCAGGCAUCCGACCGAGGACCCUUCCUGUGGUGACCAGCAUCAGGGUGGAUGUGAACCUGGAUGGACAGAAUGGACAGUGUCCAGACCCAGCCCAGGAGUCCCUCGCCCUGGAGAGAGCCCCCACCUCGUAGGACGGGAGGCCCCCACCCACACCCCCACCUCGUAGGACGGGAGGCCCCCACCCAGAGCCCCCACCUUGUAGGACUGACAGGCCCCAGGCCCCCCCAAGGAGCCGGGCGUGCCCUCGGCAGGGUCUGCACUGAACACGAUCUGGAGAGCAGACGUGAAAACAUGUACAGAGAACUACACUCUAGCCAAGGCGACCAGCCGAGGAGAAGCAGCAAGCGGGUAAAUCGUGGACGGAGCACGAAGGCAGAGACGCCAGACACCAGACUGCCCGACUCCGGAGCCAGCAAAGCCAGGUGACAGGCGGUUAGGGCCGAGGAGGAGACGGCACCGAAGCAGACGCAUCAACGAGUGAAGAGGGGGCGCCCGUGCUGCCUGGUGCCUGGGCCUGCGGUGCCCGGGGAUCAGGGGCCAGCCCAGUGGCUGAGCCCGUCUCAUGCCCCCUCGGUGCCCCCCGUCCCUCCAAGGCCCGCCUCCUGCGGUCCCCGGGCUCGGUCAGCAGCAGACCCCCUGCUCACACGACUUCGCGGGGAUCUGGAUUUGGGGAAGUGCAAGGCUCUCCCACCGGCGGGGGGGCCCCCAGGCAGCCCUUCGGGUAUUCACCACAGGCUGCCCCGCUGAGGUCCCAGGGCUGGCCCAGUGCGCCCCCCUGCCCACGGGAGCCAGCUGUGGGAUGAGGGAUGAGCCGCCGCCCAGUCCCACUCCAUCCAGCUGGAACAGACACAGCAGAGCAAGCAGCAGGCCCGCAGGCAGCACCGGGCAGGAGGGGACACGGAGUCAUCUGCUAGGCCCUCUUAGGGCAGCUGCCACAGGAAACCCCAAACCCUCAGGGUGACGGGUGCUUGGGCUCAGUGAGGCUGUGGGGGAGAAUCCUGUGGCAUGGACAGGCCCUCUGGGGAGGAGGGGGCGCUGCCCGGGACGGGGUGAGGGCCGGGGCCGCAGGGCUGGCCUGGAGCAGGGCAUGGCAGGAGGGGGCAGCAGAGCACAGGGCCGGCUCCCCUGCAGGGGCCGAGAAAAGGCACUGGGAACGGGGAGCACAAACGCAGGGCCCGGCGGGGGCCGUGGCUGCAGCGCGGUGGCAGGCUGGGCGCCUGCUGUCCCCUCGCAGAAGUGCUGGGAUGACGCCGGCCCACACCUCACACUCAGGACACGCCCCCGCCUCCGCCCCCACCCCCCGGGCCGGGCAGGGUGCCUCCGGGGAAGAGGAAGUGCACUCCACGGGCUGCUGGCUCCAAGCACCUUGGCCUUGCCCCAAGUCUGGAGCCAGUAGAAGCUCCAGGCCCCCCUCCACGGCCCUCGGGAAGGGAAACGCCGCACCUUCGCCGCAGGCCCGUCCCUACCUGGAUGAUGUCCGACAGCUUCUGCAAGCCUGCUGUGUUGCUGAACAGCCCCGUGCCUGUGGGAGCAGCAGCCGCUGGCCGUCCACGCCCCACCAGGGGAGGCUCCGACCCCCACCCCCGGGAGCCACGAGCAAGCUCAGCCUCAACCCGGCAUUGCUGUGGGGCGUGCCCCCGGGGAGCAGCUCCCACGCUGCCCCCAGAACAUCUCCGGAGUCAGCGGGAGGAGAAAAGAGGCCCUGUGCUCCAGUACGGCUGGGCCUGCCUGCCCACCCCCAGGGCCCGGGAGCCCAGAACGCCGGUCACCCAAGAGAACGAGACCCCACCCAGUAGAAGUGGGCCCGUAGGGCAGCCUCGGGGUGCAAACAGGAUGUGGGGGCUCAGCACCAAGGUUCACUGACCCACCAGGUCCCUCAGCACUCUUCCUUUAAAGGCCCGACCAAGAAACGGAAAGCUGGGCUGUGCUUUACAAAACAGACGCCCGUCCAACAGCGCUGAUGCCCCAGUGUCACCGCCGGAGAGGGAGGUCUGGGGGGGACGCUCCUCUCGGGGAUGCAGGAGGCUCUGGCCCUGAGUCAAGGCCUAGCACCCCGCAGGCUGCAGGGCAGGCUGGGGACUCACGUCCUGCCAGGUGCUGAAUGAUCUGGUCCAGGGAGUCGAGGAUGCAGCCUUUGGUCUGAAACGUUAUCUGGGCCUCCGCGAACAGCUCGAAGAUGUAGCUGUGGGAGAAUGGGCCUCAUGCGGGGCGCCAGCCAGCGGCCUUAUAUUCCCCGCAGUCGGACACGAGCGCCAAGGGCUCCAGAGUUGGCCGAACCCAGAGGUGAGAGAGACAUGAGCACUGAGGAGAAGGCCGGGCCCCCACGGCGUUGUGGGAGGCAGUGAAGCCUGCCGUCUGGGCCGUGGAGGGGUGGGUGGGGCGGGCCAAGCAGCCUGGCUCCUCUGGGAAGCAAGUGGAGCCCUGUGAGGCUCCGAGCACAGCAGCCGGGCUCGGGGAGGAGGCAGGCAGCGGUGCUCCAGCACAUUAUAGAAUUCCCCAGACCCCCAGAACCCGAGCCUGGAUCCCAGCACGGCUGCCAGCUGCACCCGGAGGAGGGCCACAACCAGCCCCAGACCAUGACCUUUGGGAAAGAACCCCAGCUGCCCCGGGCUGCUGAGACCGCAGCCCCGCGCCCUGGUCAGAGCCACCGGGGCUCCCGAGGCCGGAAGGGGCAGCUGGGAGGAAGAGGCGUCUCAGCGUAAAGGGCCGGCCCAGAGGGGGCGGCGGGGACAGGGGCCCUGCCUGCACGCGCACUGGCCCUAGGCCCCAACACCCUAGUACAAAGCCUCUCAUGGGCCACUGAAACCAAAUCAGACCUCACAGGCGUGCGGGCGGGGCCGGGGGCAGGGGGCCCACCGUAGGGAGCGCUGCGCACGCCCUGCCCCUUACCUCCCUGGCUUGGUGACGCCGCUGUGGUCCCCAGGCAGCUCGACAGCAUCGAUGGCCGCCUCCAGGCGCAGCAGGAUCACUGUGGGGAGGGGGUCAUGAGGGGCGGCCCGCCUAGCCACGGGCGUUGGGGGAGGCCAGCACUCACUCUUGAGCUUUGCGAGGUCUUCCAGCUCCAUGUGCAGCCCUGGGAAAGCAGCAAAUGCGUGGUCACGUCCCACUUCUGCCAACCGCGUCCCCACGAGCCAGGACUCUGGCUGGAUUCCCGCCUGUGUCCCCAAGUAGGCGAGGCACAGAGAUAACCACGGACAAGAGGAUCCGACAUCCCUGCAGCCCGAUCAUGGGCCGGAGGCAGCAGGCCUGGCAGGGCCAUGGAACAUCUGCAGAGGGGCCCGAGCUCAGCAACGGGACCGAGGCUGUCGUCUGCGUUUAGACACGAGUACCACCGACGACAUUAAACGCUCUCCUCCUCAGGGGACAAGGGACCAAUCACACAAGUCAGGGAUAAAUUCAAACUCCCAAAUCCAAAAACGGGCAAAAUAUCAAGCAUCUAUCCGCCUUUUCCUGUGAGAACGGUGUCACCGAGUAACAGCCGAGGUGAGAGCACCUCGACGAAGUCACCCCCCCAAUAAACCGAGCAGUGCAGGGGGCACACGACCCUCUGUCAAUGCCCUGGUGACCACCGGGUCUCAGCACCGAGCGCAACGGUGUUCCCGUCGCCACGGCGAGAACCUGCCGCCCGGAGACGCCUCCGGAGACGAAGUGCGGUGACUGAAGCCACCCCAUCUGCGGCUCCACCAGGUCGGUGGCUGGAGCGAAGCAGGGCGCGUGGCCACGGCAGGUCUCUCCUUCCUGGGACCCGCCUGCCACCCGCAGAAGCUAAGGGACGGUGGCCACACCCUUGCCGACACUGGUCACUGCCCAUCAGCCUGGCAGCAGCCGUGCCACUGGGCCUACAGGGCGUCGCUCGGCGCUCAGACCUGCGUCUCCACGUGCGCACUGACCCCUUGCGUCUACUCUGAAGCGCCUGUUCCUACUUUUUGUCCAUUUUUAACGGGACUGUCUUUUCUUUGAGUAGUAAGAGUUUCCUGUGUGUUUUGGAUGAAAAUUCCUUAUCAGAUACGUGAUCCACAAAAAAGACCUGCCGUCCUCUGGCCAGUCCUUCCGCUGUCCCGGUGGCAUCUCCGAAGCCUAACAGUUGGACUGUGAUGACGUCGGGCGUCUCUCUUUCCUUUGUGCUUCUCAGCCAGCAGCACUUGUUCCUUCCUUAAAGGUUUUUCCAUAUUUAUUCGUCACCUCCACCCCCACCCGGGAGGUCACCCCAGAGAGCACACGUCACACGCUCCACUGACCGAGCCGGCCAGCCGUCCCCACGGCAUCACUUCUGAGGCCACAGCCCGGGGAGCGACACCGGGGUGAGCGAGCCCCAGGCAGGGGUUGCCGAGUGCAAGCCGCCGGGGCCAUGCUGAGCAGCCCCUUCCGGGGGACGGGGUAGGAAGGAGGCGAACCGUGACCGGGGAAGAACCCGACACAAACAGCCGACAGCGACAGUCCUCAGCCACACACGGGGAGCGUAGGGCGCGACAAGAACCGUGCUGGACCCGUGCUUCUCCCAAAUCCCAGAGCCCGGGGAACCCACGAGGAAACAGUUGCCUCCCAACGAAGGCACAUGCCACCAAAGGCCCUGGCGACCCUCCAACUAUGGGCUUUAGCAAGAGCUCACGGACCAGAGCAGGCCGAGGGGACAUGCCUGGUGCGGGCUUUCCUGGCGCAGAACAAGGACGUCACUGGAAAACCAAGCACCGGCAGCCACUGUGCGCCCGCCGGGAUGGCCAUUUCCAACACAAAAUGCGUGAAGACAGUGCUCACGCCCACUUCGGAGAGGAGCAAGUCGAAAGCAUCCCGGGGCCGUGUCGCUCGAGGGCCUGGCGCUCCAAGUCAGCAGGCGCCACGCAGGGCCCAGGCUUCGGCAGCCCGCCCCCGCCCCCCCACCCCCCCCCAGCCGGGACCAGCCGACGGGGCGGGCGCCCGGGCCCCGGGCCGAGCUGCCGGCAUCACCAGGCAAGUGCUGCGGCAGCAGACCCGGAUGCGGGCCGUCGCCUUGAGGGAGGCAGGCGGCCCUGGGGGGCGCUCUCCGGGGGGCAGGCCCGUGUGCAGCGCAGAAGCAAGCGUGAACAAAAUAUGCGCAUGUCUGCUCCUGCGUGGGACAAACGCAGCCAAGCAAGAAUAAGCCGGAAACCAGGAAGACACUUCGCGGCCUCCAGAACCACACAGAGGUUUCCAGUGCCCAAGAAAACCGAAGCAACAGAAUCAAUGAGGACAAACACUGAAUAAGAAAUGACCCUAAAAGGACAGCGCAGCCACGGGGCGGGGGGGCAACAGGGACUCGUGAGCCUGGUCUCCCGACCAGCACUCGGACGCACGCGCUCUGGGGAGCAGCUUGCCUUGUCACGGCCGGGGAGCUGCUGUACACAGCUGCCUGCAUGUCCCAGGGCGGACGGAGCACAAGAGACGCCAAGGAAAGCGGGACCACGGUUCUCCCAGCAGGGGAAGCACGGAAUCGCCACCACGGGGGAACGAGCGCGGCGCUGGACGGGACAGCAGGGUGUGCAGGGCACCCCAUGCUGCGCGGGAGAGCUAGCCGCUCCCACAGGCCCAGACGCAAGGGGCGUGGGGGUGAGACUCAGCGCUUCAUAAACAUCAAGCAGUCCUUAAUUCUGGGGGGAGGGGGUCGCCCACGGAUGCCACAGAUUGCUCAGGACUUACUGAUGGAGGAACAGUAACCUCACAGGGGACAAUGGUGGCAGUUGUCACCUAAGGGAAUAAUCCAAGUCAGCACCCCCAACCAUGCGGCAGAUGGGCUGUGCCUCCGGGGACACCUGUCAAAGGUGCACACAACCUGAACAGAAUCUACAACACCUCACACAUGCCCACAGUGCAGGACACUCAGCAGCACAGUAACUAAGCUUCAUCCUCAAAAGCGUCUAUUCCAAGGAAGAGGACACCUGAGACUCUGUCCAGGUCACAGCUCCAAGGCCGCAGAGAUACGGCGACGGGGGGGCUCCCAGAGCACGUCCUCUGAGGGUGCCUCUGGCUAUGAUGAGGACAACCAGAGACACUCUAAGGUGCCCGGCCAGUCACGCAGGGGCUUCCCAUCAGACCAGGGCACUGUGGCCACACAGCACGUCCUUGCUCUUGGGACACACACGCCAGGACACAGUCAAAGGAAGGGUGCAGGGCAGCCCGGGUGGCGCAGAGGUUUAGCGCCGCCUGCAGCCCGGGGUGUGAUCCUGGAGACCCGGGAUCGAGUCCCACGUCGGGCUCCCUGCAUGGAGCCUGCUUCUCCCUCUGCCUGUGU